GGAUGUAGCUCAGUUGGUAGAGUACUUGCUUUGCAUGCACAAGCCCCUGGGUUCAAUACCCAGCACCA
rnacentral:tRNA from 1 species